UUUAGUUUCAUUUAUUUGUUUUUGACUUGUACAAGUUCAUUCCUUAUGAAAAUCCUAAUGGUGAGCCAAUCGGAGAUUACAAUGAUCUUGUUUAUCAGAUCUUUCUUGAGAAAUUUGAUAUGGUGGUUGGAGAUUUGACCAUCUUGUGGAACAGAUCAAACUAUGUUGAGUUCACUUUGCCAUACUCCGAGUCUGGAGUUUCAAUGCUUGUUCCGAAUAAGGUUGAUGAUAGUAAGAACAUGUGGAUCUUCAUGAGACCUCUAGAAAUGGAGUUGUGGAUAACAAUUGGAGGAUUCUUCAUCUACAUUGGAUUUGUUGUUUGGGUUCUAGAGCAUCGUGUAAACAAAGAGUUUCGUGGCCCUCCUCAUCAACAAGUCGGAAUGAUCUUCUGGUUUUCCUUCUCCACCCUUGUCUUUGCACAUAGUAACAAAAAUGUGAAUAUACGAAAACAACUGGAUCAGAGAUGAAGCCGAUUGCCCUGGAAAAAAUGUGGAUGUUGAACCCUUUGAGAAGCUGACACUAGAAAGCUUUAAAGGUCUAUUUAUUGUUGCUGGUUUGUCCUCGACUUGUGCUCUCGUCAUCUUCUUUUUUAUGUUCUUAUACGAAAACAAGGAGAUACUUGUCUCAGAUGAUUCAACACGCCAUAAGUUGACCACAAUCAUACAAAACUUUGAUAAGAAGAAAGAUGUAAUGCCCUCUGAAACAAAAACAGUCGAUGAUAGCAAUGAGUAUAUAGAAGAUAAUAUGAUGAACUAUCCACCUACGAUGAGUCCAGCGAUAAGUGAUUACCAUCAAAGUGAAGGAGUCUUUUCACCUGCGAGUUCAAUCUAUUCAAUGAGCCGGUGUAUCUAAGCUAAUAACGAUAGGAUUUAGAUUAGUGUAUUACAUUUUAUACACAUAUUUAA